rnacentral:misc_RNA from 1 species
CCGUGCAAGAAUCAAUACUUCACAGAAUGAAUACUAAGUUUGUUAAUAUGUCAAGGCGUAUCUACAUUAAUCUGACUGUCAAUCAGAAAACAGUGGCAAAGUUGUAUUAUACAUAAGGUAUUUCCCAAUGCAAAGAAUAAUAUUCCCAUUUUCAAGAAUGUGCAGCUCUAUCUGCUGUUACAUUUUGUGUAAAAUUUUCCAGAAUAUAUUUCAUAAUGAUUGAAAGUAAGAGCCAAACAAACAAAAAGGAAAAUGUGGGACUUGCAAAUUUGUCAUCACCACCCCCAUUAAAUUCAACAAGAAACAAAUUAUGGCUCAAUCUCAAGCCUUGGUUCAAAGCAAAAACCAGUAAAAAGCUGAAGCGGGAACCUCUUUGUCACUGGGCACUUCUGUGACCAUUUCCACUGUUUCUGGUUCAUGUCAAAAACAAGAAGAGCUGGAGCCCCAUAGCUCUGGAUGUAUAAAAGAUCAUCUGUGCCACUGCUGGCAAAAACAUCAUCAAACUCCCCAAAUCCUUGAAAAAACUUGUGAGGCAUACGAGCAAUCUCUUGCCAUUCCUUACCAUUUAGGACCCAAAUCCCAAUCCCCUUAAUUAUGUCAGGCCGGUCUUGUUUACCAAUUCCUCCAACCAUUACCAGCUUCUCCUUCAAAUUCAUCAGACGUCCACAAGUAAGUGGACAAGGUACCGGAAUGAAACUCCUUAUCAAUAAACCAUGGGAAGAUCUACUCGAGAGAUUAUGUGUAAUUAGACCAUGGCGAUUCUCUGGUGUGCCACCCCCAGUUGAGUAAAUCAAAAUGUAUAAAACCCCAUCACAGAUCACACUUUCAUCGCCACUUCUCCAUCCUGUUAACACCUCAGACCAAGAAGCCACCCACAUCCUUGUUUCAGAAUUAUAAGUAUAAAUAGAAAGAUCCCAUUGGAAAAAAUUUCCUGGGACUUGCUUAGACUUCACGAUUGAGAUAGUAUAUCCAUGCAGCAUCCUGUUCACUGAAAUUGCAAGUGCACUGUAAUCAGCAAUUUUUAAACCUGGAGGCUCCUCAAGCUUCUUGCAGCAUUUGGUAAUAGGGUUGCAGACAUAUAAUUCACUUCUGCUAUCAUUGUCCAUGAAGCAAACUAAACCACGAGAUGAAGCAAUGAACCAACUGGAUGUCUCGAUGCAUGGGAGAUCAAUGCCAUACCACUUUCUGAGGAUUGGAUCGUAGGCGUAGCCAAUAGGUUCAUUGGAGCUUGUAAACAUAAAAUACCAGGGUUUUUGUGACAGGACAUGUGAGAAAUUCCAUAAAAACCUCCUUGAACUAACAAUCUCACGCCAUCUUUUACACACAGAACCUGCUCUAAAGAUGCUAGCAAUAGGAAGAAAUGCUAGAAUCCGUUCCAACAGAUCAUCAGGCAGGAUUAAAUCCAAAGAAACUGCAUUAAUUUCUUUACUGCCUUCAUCACUAAGCUCUGAGAAUGAAUCAAACUCACCAAUGCCUCUUGCUACAUCAUCAAAGCAAUCAUUGAUCCAUGAUGUUUCUCCCUCCAUGAUGAAGGAGAGUGAAGAACAGGCCUGGUAGAAAGAGGAAGACGAAGGAACAAAACUUAAAAUAAAAAUGAAUUUCUACCAGAAAGAUAAGACUAAAAACCAUCGCCUCUAAAGAAGCUAUAACACCAAAUAAAGAUAUAAUAAAAAAUAAGGAAAUCAAAUCACAUGGAAAACAAUUUUAAAUGUGCAAAUUGCAACUAGAAUUGGUGCGUGUGUAUUGUUGUACUAUUACCACCCAUUUAGACUGCAGUCAGAUCACAUCCUUAUCCAUAUAAUCACUGAAAAAGCACAACCCAGCAACCAUGACAUUGCAUUUAUAAACUAGCCCGCUGCCCACCUUCCAUGUGUAUCAGAUUGUGAUCUCCUAAUGCCAUGGAUAUAUCACUGAAAUAUCCAACUCAUAGAUCCCCACAGUAAAUGAGGAUAUUAGAACCAAACACAACCUAUUAACUAGGAGCAAUACCCUAAAAGCCAAAAGCCAGACGUGCCAGGUAAACACAUUAAACAAAACACUCAAGUUUAUGAUAUGGAAAAGAAUUCAAAACGAAGAAACACUAAUUUAACAAAUUUCUGAAAAAGUAAACAUACCCAGGGAGAAAUUGAAGCAACUAUGAAACAAAAAUGGGGAACCCAGAAAGAGAUGAAAAAACUAUGGCAACUUAACUGCCGAAUAUCAAAUUAAAAUUAUAUGCAUAACCAGAAGCCCAUAAAACCAGAAAUCGAUUCCCAGGAGAGCAUACAUAUCAAAUACUAGAAGAGAUCGAACAAGAAGACAUAGCAGUACGACAUCUAAAUUUGAAAUCUUAUUCAAGAAUAUUUCCCACAUUAAUAACUAAAUUGUUACUACAAGAAAGAUAACAUCAUUUAAGACGGAUAAUAGAAAAACGAUUAAAAAAAAUUGACAAGAAUUCUUACAAGAAGAUGAGUUUAUCGAUGCGAAACAAAUGAUUUUGUUUCGACCAAAAGAACGACCAUUCGCUUUCUCUAACACAUGGAACCCUAAAAACGAUUUUGUGAGUCAAAAUAAUAGAAAAAUAUUGUGUGGAGGGAAAGAGAUUAGGCCACGCCUAGUCAUCAAUCAAACAUCAAAGCCCCAUUAACUAAAAACCAUUACCAUCAAUAACUAAACCAACAUCAUAGACUUAAAAACACAAGUAGACCACUGAAAUGCACAAUAAAAACAAAAUCAAGAACAGAAAGAACAAGAUUUUCAUAAAAUUGAAACCCCAUACCUCGUUUUAAGCCACCUCCAGGGACAGUACCCAAGUGGGUGAGGCUAGAUUUAUAGAGGAAGAGAAAUGGCGAAAAGAGAAACAGAAUAUAAUGAUUAAAAAAAAAACUCCAAACUCGCUAUUAGAGGAAAGUAUUAAAGAACAUAGAGACCAAAACGAAAUGGGCUAUGGUGAAGAUAUUUUCUUCAAAUGGUAGAUAACUUUGACAUGGUCAGUCCAGAAUUGGCUGGUAAACAAAGCCUAAGCAACCCAUUUGAGAGAAAGAGAGUAUUUUGGUUUUAUUUGUUGAUACAACAAAAAACGACAAGCAGGGAAUGAAGCGAGAAGCCGGUUUUCCUAUCGAGGAGAUGUGUUGGUGCGAAAUGGGGAGAGAGAGAAAGAGAGAGAGAGAAGAUGGAUUAUACAGUUGGUUCAUGUCACGACUCGAAUUUUGGGCUGGACCGGCACUAGAACUUCAGUCAGCAUAAGGCCCCCGAAAGCCUAACUAUUUAUAGCUCAAUCAGAAAGCCCAUAAAUAUAGUCCAAUUUUAGAAAAUCAAACGAACAAAGUCCAGCUAUAAAUUAGACUAUCCAACGGGAGCCUCAAUUCACCCGACUUGUAAAUCAAUAAAACAAUAAUACGGGGAGCUCAGCUCACCCUCACAAUCCUCAAAUUACAUAUAUCAACAUUUGGGAGCUCAGCUCCCUCUAUCAUCAAUAAUAAACAUCUUAUACAUCCAUGUUAUCUCACAUAAUUAAUUUUACAACUCCAAAACUAAAUUAUUACAACCCUAAUAAAAAUACAACUAGUGGUCUAUGCAGAAUUCUAAAUUUAAAUAAAAGAUAAUAAAAGCAAAUCAAAAUAUUUUCUGUUUAAACUUGUAAGGAAAGAAAGCAGGUUCAUCACAAAUAAAGCCACCUAUUCAACUUAGAGAGUAAGAUAUUAAUUUUAAAUAUAAUUUCUAAAACGAUCUAAAUCUAAUGCAUUCUUAUGUGUGAAAUGCAACACAUUCACGUAGUUCAAACAAUUCAACCAAUAUUCGCACAAAAGAUUACUUGGAGCACGCACGCACCCAUAUGAUACAUCAAUAUACAUAUGAGAGUAGAUCCCUUAUAUAGAUUUCUUAAUCUAAUAUCUACCAGCAAGGUCAACUCAAACUGGACUUUCACUUAAUAAUCCAAGUGCGAAGGCUAACGAGAUUAACUCAAAGCCGUGCUCACCCCAACUUAUCAAUAUAUAAGAAUCGAGUUCCAGCGAGUCAAGCGUCAGCCGCAAAUAACCAUCCUACCUAUAUUCAUAUCCACACCAUACUCACGCCAACACACACACAUAAAGCUUCAAGUUAUCUUAAGGUAACAUCCACAAAUAAUUCAAUAACAUAUACAGCAAAGAAGCGUACCUAGCAUUUAACUAAUUAUAUACAUACAUAUAAGUGAAUGCAUGAGCAUGCAUUGAAUAUAAAUUAAUAAUAUUGAAAUUAUAAAUAAAAUCAAUAUCAAACUCACGAUGCAACCCACUGCUUAUUGGUUCUGCUUGGAAGGAGAAAAUUAUUGAUUUGAAUCACCUGGAUAGAAGACAAAGUUGCUGCCCCUGCUCCUAUUCAUCAUCUUCCUCCCUUUCUCUCUCUAAUUU